rnacentral:rRNA from 1 species
GGCAGAGUUUGAUCUGGCUCAGAUUGAACGCUGGCGGCAGGCUUAACACAUGCAAGUCGAGCGGAGAGAGGUAGCUUGCUACUGAUCUUAGCGGCGGACGGGUGAGUAAUGCUUAGGAAUCUGCCUAUUAGUGGGGGACAACAUUUCGAAAGGAAUGCUAAUACCGCAUACGUCCUACGGGAGAAAGCAGGGGAUCUUCGGACCUUGCGCUAAUAGAUGAGCCUAAGUCGGAUUAGCUAGUUGGUGGGGUAAAGGCCUACCAAGGCGACGAUCUGUAGCGGGUCUGAGAGGAUGAUCCGCCACACUGGGACUGAGACACGGCCCAGACUCCUACGGGAGGCAGCAGUGGGGAAUAUUGGACAAUGGGCGCAAGCCUGAUCCAGCCAUGCCGCGUGUGUGAAGAAGGCCUUAUGGUUGUAAAGCACUUUAAGCGAGGAGGAGGCUACUGAAGUUAAUACCUUCAGAUAGUGGACGUUACUCGCAGAAUAAGCACCGGCUAACUCUGUGCCAGCAGCCGCGGUAAUACAGAGGGUGCAAGCGUUAAUCGGAUUUACUGGGCGUAAAGCGCGCGUAGGCGGCUAAUUAAGUCAAAUGUGAAAUCCCCGAGCUUAACUUGGGAAUUGCAUUCGAUACUGGUUAGCUAGAGUGUGGGAGAGGAUGGUAGAAUUCCAGGUGUAGCGGUGAAAUGCGUAGAGAUCUGGAGGAAUACCGAUGGCGAAGGCAGCCAUCUGGCCUAACACUGACGCUGAGGUGCGAAAGCAUGGGGAGCAAACAGGAUUAGAUACCCUGGUAGUCCAUGCCGUAAACGAUGUCUACUAGCCGUUGGGGCCUUUGAGGCUUUAGUGGCGCAGCUAACGCGAUAAGUAGACCGCCUGGGGAGUACGGUCGCAAGACUAAAACUCAAAUGAAUUGACGGGGGCCCGCACAAGCGGUGGAGCAUGUGGUUUAAUUCGAUGCAACGCGAAGAACCUUACCUGGCCUUGACAUAGUAAGAACUUUCCAGAGAUGGAUUGGUGCCUUCGGGAACUUACAUACAGGUGCUGCAUGGCUGUCGUCAGCUCGUGUCGUGAGAUGUUGGGUUAAGUCCCGCAACGAGCGCAACCCUUUUCCUUAUUUGCCAGCGAGUAAUGUCGGGAACUUUAAGGAUACUGCCAGUGACAAACUGGAGGAAGGCGGGGACGACGUCAAGUCAUCAUGGCCCUUACGGCCAGGGCUACACACGUGCUACAAUGGUCGGUACAAAGGGUUGCUACCUAGCGAUAGGAUGCUAAUCUCAAAAAGCCGAUCGUAGUCCGGAUUGGAGUCUGCAACUCGACUCCAUGAAGUCGGAAUCGCUAGUAAUCGCGGAUCAGAAUGCCGCGGUGAAUACGUUCCCGGGCCUUGUACACACCGCCCGUCACACCAUGGGAGUUUGUUGCACCAGAAGUAGCUAGCCUAACUGCAAAGAGGGCGGUUACC